AUUGAACGCUGGCGGCAGGCCUAACACAUGCAAGUCGAACGAGUGGCGGACGGGUGAGUACUGUCUGGGAAACUGCCCGAUGCAGGGGACUAACUACUGGAAACGGUAGCUAAUACCGCAUACCAUCGGAUGUGCCCAGAUGGAAUUAGCUAGUAGUUGGGGUAACGGCUCACCUAGGAGACGAUCCCUAGCUGGUCUGAGAGAAUGACCAGCAAAACUGGAACUGAGACACGGCCCAGACUCCUACGGGAGGCAGCAGUGGGGAAUAUUGCACAAGGGGCGCAAGCUGGACGAAGCCAUGCCGCGUGGAUGAAGAAGGCCUUGGGGUUGUAAAGUCCUUUCAGCGAGGAGGCGUUACUCGCAGAAGAAGCACCGGCUAACUCCGUGCCAGCAGCCGCGGUAAUAC
rnacentral:rRNA from 1 species